UACGGAGGGUGCGAGCGUUGUCCGGAAUCACUGGGCGUAAAGGGCGCGUAGGCGGCUCGUGAAGUCAGGGGUGAAAUCCCAAGGCUCAACCUUGGAACUGCCUUUGAUACUGGGGAUCUCGAGUCCGGAAGAGGUUGGUGGAACUGCGAGUGUAGAGGUGAAAUUCGUAGAUAUUCGCAAGAACACCAGUGGCGAAGGCGGCCAACUGGUCCGGUACUGACGCUGAGGUGCGAAAAGCGUGGGGGAGCAAACAGG
rnacentral:rRNA from 1 species